UAAUACGGCAUGUCUUAGUAUAAGCACUAUACGGUGAAACUGCGAAUGGCUCAUUAAAUCAGUUAUCGUUUAUUUGAUAGUACUUCACUACAUGGACAACUGUGGUAAUUCUAGAGCUAAUACAUGCUAAAAACCCCGACUUCGGGAGGGGUGUAUUUAUUAGAUAAAAAACCAAUGCCCUCCGGGGCUCCUUGGUGAAUCAUAAUAACUUAACGAAUCGCAUGGCCUUGCGCCGGCGAUGGUUCAUUCAAAUUUCUGCCCUAUCAACUUUCGAUGGUAGGAUAGUGGCCUACCAUGGUCUCAACGGGUAACGGGGAAUUAGGGUUCGACUCCGGAGAGGGAGCCUGAGAAACGGCUACCACAUCCAAGGAAGGCAGCAGGCGCGCAAAUUACCCAAUCCCGACACGGGGAGGUAGUGACAAUAAAUACUGAUACAGGGCUCUUUCGGGUCUUGUAAUUGGAAUGAGUACAAUUUAAAUCCCUUAACGAGGAACAAUUGGAGGGCAAGUCUGGUGCCAGCAGCCGCGGUAAUUCCAGCUCCAAUAGCGUAUAUUAAAGUUGUUGCAGUUAAAAAGCUCGUAGUUGAACCUUGGGCCUGGCUGGCCGGUCCGCCUCACCGCGUGUACUGGUCCGGCCGGGCCUUUCCUUCUGGGGAGCCGCAUGGCCUUCACUGGCCGUGUCGGGGAACCAGGACUUUUACUUUGAAAAAAUUAGAGUGUUCAAAGCAGGCCUUUGCUCGAAUACAUUAGCAUGGAAUAAUAGAAUAGGACGCGCGGUUCUAUUUUGUUGGUUUCUAGGACCGCCGUAAUGAUUAAUAGGGACAGUCGGGGGCAUCCGUAUUCAAUUGUCAGAGGUGAAAUUCUUGGAUUUAUUGAAGACGAACUACUGCGAAAGCAUUUGCCAAGGAUGUUUUCAUUAAUCAGUGAACGAAAGUUAGGGGAUCGAAGACGAUCAGAUACCGUCGUAGUCUUAACCAUAAACUAUGCCGACUAGGGAUCGGUGGGUGUUAUUAUUUUGACCCCAUCGGCACCUUACGAGAAAUCAAAGUUUUUGGUCUGGGGGAGUAUUCGAAGA
rnacentral:rRNA from 1 species